AUGAUGCUCGGGCGCGGGCGCGCAGGGACGCCGGAGUUCGACCUCGUGUUCGCACCGUGGUCUCGCCGCGCUGGGGCGACUGCAAUUUCCAUGCCGUUCCUGGUGCCGUUGGCGCUCUGGGGAGUGCCCGCAAAUGCGUGGACGAAGCGAACGGCGGAGGUGCUUCUCCAUGGCUUGGGCAUUGUGGUCAAGGUGGCGUCUUCGACGGCGUCUAGAAAUGACAUGGCAGGUUUCAAGGUCUGGUUGAGGACGGAUGAUCCAGCCCGCAUCCCGCCCAAGCGCAUCCUAGUCGUCGAGGAACAGGGUAGUCGCGGUGAGCUCGUUCUAGCCGCCGCAAAUGGCGGGGAUGCCUUGUGGUACCCGGUGCGUAUUACCCAGGAAGGCAGCGCUAUUCGGGUGGGCGACUUUGCCGGUGCGAAGCCGCCGCCACCGCCGCCGCCGCCGUCGCCGUCGUCGGGUGAUGAUAACCAUGGUGGUCAGGAUAGGGCAUCUCGGGGCAUCCGGCCUGGCCUCAUGCACCACGCCCCCUGCCUGGGGCCUCUCCGGGUGCGUCCUCGUCGGCGUCGGCCCCAUUGCCGGCGGCUCAGGGCGGCGCCCAGGAGCUGGAUGGUCAACAAAGCAGGUUUGACUGCUCAGCGGUGGAUUCAAGCGGUGGUGCUGGCGUGA
rnacentral:rRNA from 1 species